CUUCGAGGCCAUUUGCGAGAAAACGGCAACUCCUACAAUAAUGACAGUGCCAUUUUGUGAAAGGCAAGAAAAGUACCUACGUUUUGAUGUAUAAUUUGUUUUAAUGAAGGCAAAAUUGAGCGUUUGUUCGGACAUGAAGAAGAGAUUGAGAAAGCCACAAUGUGUGGCGUGUUUGGCGGUCCAUAGCAACCAUAACAACCAAUAUUGAUUGACAGAAAAGAGAUUUUGAGACAGGGGUUAAAAAAAAAAAAAAAGCAGAGAGAGCCCAUCUAUAGGCUCGCCUGUAGGCUUCUAAGCAAGCGUAGCAGGUGAAUUUCAGAGCCAGGGAUUUUUUUUUUUUUUUUCAACAUGUUUCCCCAACAUAUGGUCCGCAUGGGAUUCGAACCACUGCCCCCUGUCUUCAAUCUCUGCCAUAGGGCCUGUCACUUUCCCACGAGCCACUUGGGCGGCCACGGAAAGACAGAGCAAAAGUGCUACAUUUAAAGUGCACACCCGUGCACAGCCGCAACCCCAUUUUCGGCUCUUUUUCAUUAGCUGGACACCAGGCCUUAUCUAGUCAGCCGUUCCAACCACAUUCCUGGCAAUGUGUGCCUACUUCAAGGCGCAUACAAGUGUAACUCUAAUGCAACUUAAGUGUUAGUGACGUCACACCUAUGCGCCACUGCCCUCUGUGGAGAAUGGGAGAAAUGUGCUUGCACCUCAACCUAUGGACUCCGACAUUCAAUCAUCAUCUUCCUAACUCAAGCGAGGUGGUUUCCUUCCACUUGUAGCAGGACCAGUACGUCUGCCAGCUCCAAUCAAAGCUCCGGUGACCAGGAAGACCUCAGCAUUCGCCAAUUCCUGCUGAAUUACCGCAAACAGAAAGAACUGGCAGAGGGCAUUGGAAUAGAGGACGAUGACACUGAAGACCGAGGUAAUAGGUCUGUCUAAGGGCCAGUGGAAUAUCAGCUGUAGACUGUAGUGGUGGUUAUAUUAGAUUCAGAGUGUAGAGGAGAUGACCCUUUUAUGACCAGCAGGAAGGCACACACACACACACGCAGUGUCUUAGGUUAAUGACACACCAUAUGGGGUUUACAAUGGGGGGUUGCUUUUAUAAAACUGUUUGUAACAAAGAGUUGAGAUUUGCAGAGGGACUCCCGGGCCAUGCACAUCUCCAUUCUCGAAGAUGAAUAAGUGAUAGAAGACAAAUAAAUGGUUGGGAAGUAACUAUUAACCCUCACUAUAAAGACAUAAAUGGUAACUAUAAGUAACCACACAAGAGGUUUACUGCAGUGUAACUAAGGGAGGGUUCAGGGUCACCUGAUCCAAGGCUGACUAUAUGCUUUAUCAAAUAGGAAAGUUGUAAGUGUAAUGUUGAAAGUACAGAGGGUGUCUGUCUCCUGAAUCCAGACUGGGAGCUGGUUCAGAGCAGAGCCCUGAAAGCUGAAGGCUCUGCCUCCCAUUCUACUUUUAGAAAGAGCUAGUCUGAGAGUGAAGAGCUGUACCGGGGUGAUGUGGUACCUUAAUGUGUUUAAGAUAUGACGGGGCCUCAUAAUUCAAGACCUUGUUGAAAUAUUGCCAUGUCUUUAUAACUCAGUCUUCCUACGUGUCGCAUCAUUGCUGGAGAUUUGUUAGGACAGCUCAGUGAUCUGUGGUUUGUUGGGCUCCUCUGAAAAUAUGACACAGUGUCUGAGAGUAGUGGAAGACAGAGUCAGUGAGCCUUCACUACCAUAACUUAGCCAGUGAGUAUGUAGACAUGAACUGACCUGUCACUGGAGAUACGGUCACAACAGCUAGAUGUGUAGUUCUUUACUCCAGGACACCGUCCAGCUGCUGGGAGCAAGCC
ensembl:lncRNA